GAGGGCCUAGUAAACAAUAUUACAUGGUUUUGUCAUAACCAAAUCACAGCCCCUGUGGCCCCCA
rnacentral:tRNA from 1 species